ACCUGCGGAAGGAUCAUUACCGAGUUUUCGGGCUUCGGCUCGACUCUCCCACCCUUUGUGAACGUACCUCUGUUGCUUUGGCGGCUCCGGCCGCCAAAGGACCUCCAAACUCCAGUCAGUAAACGCAGACGUCUGAUAAACAAGUUAAUAAACUAAAACUUUCAACAACGGAUCUCUUGGUUCUGGCAUCGAUGAAGAACGCAGCGAAAUGCGAUAAGUAAUGUGAAUUGCAGAAUUCAGUGAAUCAUCGAAUCUUUGAACGCACAUUGCGCCCCUUGGUAUUCCGGGGGGCAUGCCUGUUCGAGCGUCAUUACAACCCUCAAGCUCUGCUUGGAAUUGGGCACCGUCCUCACUGCGGACGCGCCUCAAAGACCUCGGCGGUGGCUGUUCAGCCCUCAAGCGUAGUAGAAUACACCUCGCUUUGGAGCGGUUGGCGUCGCCCGCCGGACGAACCUUCUGAACUUUUCUCAAGGUUGACCUCGGAUCAGGUAGGAGAUACCCGCUGAACUUAAGCAUAUCAAUAAGCGGAGGAA
rnacentral:rRNA from 1 species